rnacentral:misc_RNA from 1 species
AUGAAAGGUCUAGCUUGAAGGCUUACGAUUCCCUGGCUAUUCACAAUGCAAGUAAUGAGAUGAGCUUAUAUCUAAUUAAUUGAUUAAAAAGAUGAUUAUUUUUCUCCUAACAAAGUUUCCAGUGUCCGGGAAGAAGCCAUUUUCACUUGUGAACAUAUAGAUUUUACUAGCAAUGGAUGUGACUGGAUAUAAAAAUUUUAAGUGCAUAUAGAAACAGGU